CACACCCGGACUUGGCUGUAGAGGGUGAUGGACUUACACAUUUUGGUCAACUAAAUGCUGGCCCAGGACUUUACAGACAAGUAUUCCUAAACUGCAAGAGCAUGGAUGGAAAGCCCACCCCUCUCCUGUAGGGGUAUCAGAGCACAUCUAACAGGGGAAAGGAGAGAUUUCUGUUGGCAUCCCACUCCUGGACUUUCCCCUCUGCUGAUAACUUGGCUGCUGUUUCUGUCACUUCAUCACCACCUUCAUAUGAAAGAAACUCCAUAUUCACUUCAAAGGAAACUGCCAGCAAAUUCAGGACCUGAUUGAGAAGAAGUGUUGGGACUUAGCUCUUCUAAUUUCCUGUUCAUUUAGAGUGAGAACUGAAAA